rnacentral:rRNA from 1 species
AGAGUUUGAUCAUGGCUCAGAUUGAACGCUGGCGGCAGGCCUAACACAUGCAAGUCGAGCGGUAGAGAGAAGCUUGCUUCUCUUGAGAGCGGCGGACGGGUGAGUAAUGCCUAGGAAUCUGCCUGGUAGUGGGGGAUAACGUUCGGAAACGGACGCUAAUACCGCAUACGUCCUACGGGAGAAAGCAGGGGACCUUCGGGCCUUGCGCUAUCAGAUGAGCCUAGGUCGGAUUAGCUAGUUGGUGGGGUAAUGGCUCACCAAGGCGACGAUCCGUAACUGGUCUGAGAGGAUGAUCAGUCACACUGGAACUGAGACACGGUCCAGACUCCUACGGGAGGCAGCAGUGGGGAAUAUUGGACAAUGGGCGAAAGCCUGAUCCAGCCAUGCCGCGUGUGUGAAGAGGGUCUUCGGAUUGUAAAGCACUUUAAGUUGGGAGGAAGGGCAGUAAAUUAAUACUUUGCUGUUUUGACGUUACCGACAGAAUAAGCACCGGCUAACUCUGUGCCAGCAGCCGCGGUAAUACAGAGGGUGCAAGCGUUAAUCGGAAUUACUGGGCGUAAAGCGCGCGUAGGUGGUUCGUUAAGUUGGAUGUGAAAUCCCCGGGCUCAACCUGGGAACUGCAUUCAAAACUGACGAGCUAGAGUAUGGUAGAGGGUGGUGGAAUUUCCUGUGUAGCGGUGAAAUGCGUAGAUAUAGGAAGGAACACCAGUGGCGAAGGCGACCACCUGGACUGAUACUGACACUAAGGUGCGAAAGCGUGGGGAGCAAACAGGAUUAGAUACCCUGGUAGUCCACGCCGUAAACGAUGUCAACUAGCCGUUGGGAGACUUGAUCUCUUAGUGGCGCAGCUAACGCGAUAAGUUGACCGCCUGGGGAGUACGGUCGCAAGAUUAAAACUCAAAUGAAUUGACGGGGGCCCGCACAAGCGGUGGAG